AAAGAAAUAUUUUUUAAAAAAAGCUUCUAACUUUUUUAAAAGCAAUUUAUGUUUGU
rnacentral:tRNA from 1 species